rnacentral:tRNA from 2 species
GCCCUGGUGGUGGAAUUGGUAGACACGCAGGACUUAAAAUCCUGUUCGCAGCAAUGCGAGUAACGGUUCAAGUCCGUUCCGGGGCA